rnacentral:lncRNA from 1 species
UGUCCAUCAUGUGCGAUAGGCUUGCAAUUCAAUCAACCAUUGACGUGCAAAUAUAUUAUAAAAUACAACCUCGAAGAUCAAAAAUAAUAACAAUUAUUACAUUUCUUUUUAUGAGACUUGCAUGUCUCCAAAUUAUAUGAAUCAUAUGAUGCGCAUAGGCACUCAAUAUAUAUUCAUUAGAUCUAAUCUAAUGAGAUGUGUAGGUCUCCAAAUACAUUAAUUUAUUAGUAUUCACC